AAGGGGUUAGUAGAGUGGCAAACGGGUGAGUAACACGUGGGUGAUCUGCCUCAGAGUGGGGGAUAACGACCCGAAAGGGUCGCUAAUACCGCAUAACAUCCUGCCUUUGGAUAGGUGGAGAUCAAAGCCGGGGAUCGCAAGACCUGGCGCUUGGAGAGGAGCCCGCGGCCGAUUAGCUAGUUGGUGAGGUAAUGGCUCACCAAGGCAACGAUCGGUAUCCGGCCUGAGAGGGCGGACGGACACACUGGGACUGAGACACGGCCCAGACUCCUACGGGAGGCAGCAGUGGGGAAUUGUUCGCAAUGGGCGCAAGCCUGACGACGCAACGCCGCGUGGAGGACGAAGAUCUUCGGGUCGUAAACUCCUUUCGAUCGGGAAAAACGCCUACGAGGCUAACAUCCUCGUAGAGUGAUGGUACCGAGAGAAGAAGCCCCGGCUAACUCUGUGCCAGCAGCCGCGGUAAUACAGGGGGGGCAAGCGUUGUUCGGAAUUACUGGGCGUAAAGGGCCAGUAGGCGGCCAACUAAGUCCGACGUGAAAUCCCCAGGCUCAACCUGGGAACUGCGUCGAUACUGGAUGGCUUGAAUUCGGGAGAGGGAUGC
rnacentral:rRNA from 1 species